GCCUUCGAUUCAGUCUGGCACAAUGGCCUUUUCUUAAAAUUACUCGAAAGUGGUAUCGGAGGGAACACAUACAAUCUGAUCAAAUCCAUGUACACUAACGGGAGGUGCUCAAUUAAAAUUGGAACAAAGAAAACUGAAUCUUUCUUUCAGAGACGUGGAGUAAGGCAGGGCUGUAACCUUAGCCCCACAUUAUUCAAUAUAUACAUAAAAGAAUUGUCAAAACAAAUAGAGAACUCCCCUGCACCUGGCCUGAAACUACAAGACACUGAAAUAAAAUGUCUAUUUUAUGCUGAUGACCUGGUCCUACUGUCUCCCACAAAAGAGGGGUUACAGCAACACCUGUCAGAAUUAGACAAAUACUGUCAAACCUGGGCCCUGACAGUAAAUCAAACCAAAACAAAUGUACUAAUUUUUCAAAAAAGGUCCAGGCCACAGAGAGACAACACUAUUUUCACAAUUGGAAACAACCCUAUUAAAGAAACAACAAAUUAUACAUAUUUAGGACUAAAAAUUUCAAAUACAGGUAAUUUUAACUUGGCUGUGAAUGAAUUGAGAGACAAAGCAAAAAGGGCUUUCUAUGCCAUCAAAAAAUCUAUACAAAUUGAACUACCAGUAACAACAUGGCUCAAAAUUUUCCAAUCUAUCAUUGAACCAAUUGCACUAUAUGGCAGCGAGGUGUGGGGUACACAAAUUCAACAUGAUUGGACAAAAUGGGACAAACACGCAAUUGAAAUACUACAUACACAGUUCUGCAAGAGUAUCCUCCAAGUGCAGAGAAAAGCUCCCAACUCUGCAUGUAGAGCUGAAUUAGGCCAAUACCCUCUAAUAUUAAAGAUCCAAAAACGAGCCCUAAAUUUCUGGAAUCAUAUUAAAACAAGUGACCCACUCUCCUUUUCCUACAAAGCCCUAUGCUGCCAGGAGUUGAACCCACAAAGGAGUCCCCUCUGCUUACUUGUCCUGAGGCUGGGUGAACCAUCACCCACCCAGGUCAUUACACAACGACGACCUCAGCCUCAAAACUCAAGAUCUCAGGUAAUCAGACCCAACCAAAUCAUUAUGAAAGAAAAAGAAAAAUAUAGAGAUCACUGGGCAAAAUUAACAAAAUCCCAGAACAAAUUAGAAACAUAUGUAUCACUAAACAGACAGUACACCGUGGCAAAUUACCUGACCACAGUGUCUGAUAAAAAAAUGAGGAAAACUUUAACUAAAUACAGACUGAGUGAGCACAACCUGGCAGUAGAAGUUGGCCGACACAGACAGACCUGGCUACCCAGAGAGGAGAGGCUGUGCUCCUUCUGUAACCAGGGAACAGUAGAGACGGAGCUACACUUCCUGAUUUACUGCAACCAUAACCAAAGUCUUAGAGACUAUUAUUUUGACAAAAUAACACAAAUUUUCCCAGAAUUCCAACAUCUAAAUGAUCUGGACAGACUCUCAGUUCUACUGGGAGAGAGGGAGGACUGCUGUAGACUGGCAGCAAAAUAUGUAUCAGCCUGUCAUGAGCUCCACAAUAACAUGAACCCCCUGUCCCAGAUAACUAAUAUUUAAUGUUUAAUAAUUAACAAUGAACCUGUUAUAUGUUUCUAUACCACAUUGUUACCACCUAUAACUUAUUGUUUGUUUUUAUUUAUUUAUGUUUAUUGUGCUUGUACAUUUUAUGUAAACAUGCUUUGGCAACGUUGUAUUGUAUGCAGUCAUGCCAAUAAAGCCUUUUUGAAUUGAAUUGAAUUGAGAGAUAGGGAGUGAGAGAGAGACUUAGAGAAUGCUAGAGUGAGAGAGAGUGAUAUGGAGAGAGAG
ensembl:lncRNA